CUCAUGGAGAGUUCGAUCUUGGCUCAGGAUGAAUGUUGGUGGCAUGCUUAACACAUGCAAGUCGAAUGGGAAGUGGUGUUUCUAGUGUCGGAUGGGUGAGUAAUGCGUAAGAACCUGUCCUUGGGAGGGGAACAACAACUGGAAAAGACUGCUAAUACCACGUAGGCUAAGAAGCAAAAGGGAAAAUCCGCCCGAUGAUGGGCUCGCAUCUGAUUAGCUAGUUGGUGAGACAAUAGCUUACCAAGGCAAUGAUCGGUAGCUAGUCUGAGAGGAUGAUCAACCACACUGGGAUUGAGACACGACCUAGAAUUUUACGAGAGACAACAGUGGGGAAUUUUUCGCAAUGGGCAAAAUCUUGAUGGAGCAAUGUUGUGUGGAGGUAGAAGGCCCACGGGUGGUGAACUUCUUUUCCCGAAGAAGAGGCAAUGAUAGUAUAUGAGGAAUAAGCAUCGGCUAACUCUAUGCUAAUAGUCAUAGUAAUACAGAGGAUGCAAGUGUUAUUCGGAAUGAUUGGGCGAAAAGCGUCAGUAGGUGGCUUUUUAAGUCUGCUUUCAAAUCCCAAGGCUCAACCCUAAACAGGCGGUGGAAACUACUAAGCUGGAGUACCAUAGGAGUAGAGGGAAUUUUUGAUGGAUCAGUGAAAUUCAUAGAGAUUGGAAAGAAUACCAAAGACAAGAGCACUCUAUUGGGCUAACAUUGAUACUGAGAGACGAAAGCUAGGGGAACUAAUGGGAUUAGAUACCCAGUAGUCCUAGUCGUAAAUGAUGGAUACUUGGCGUUGUGUGUAUCGACCCAUGAAGUGUUGUAGCUAACGUGUUAAGUAUCCCAUCUAGGGAGUAUGUUUGUAAGAAUGAAACUCGAAGGAAUUGACGGGGGGCCACACAAGCAGUGGAGCAUGUGGUUUAAUUCAAUGCAAAGUGAAGAACCUUACCAGGUAUUGACAUGUCGCAAAUCCUCUUGAAAAAGAGGGGUGCUUUCGGGAACUCGGAUACAAGUGAUGCAUGGCUAUUGUCGGCUCAUGUCGUAAUGUGUUGGGUUAAGUCCCACAACAAGUGCAACCCUCAUGUUUAGUUGCCAUCGUUGAGUUUGGAACCCUGAGUAGACUGUUGGUGAUAAGCCGGAGGAAAGGGAUGAUGGCGUCAACUCAUCAUGCCCCUUAUGCUUUGGGCAACACAUAUGCUACAAUGGUCGGGACAAAGGGUCGCGAUCCUGCAGGGGUAAGCUAACUCCAAAAACUCGUCCUUAGUUUGGAUUGCAGGCUACAACUCACCUGCAUGAAGUUGGAAUUGCUAGUAAUCAUUGGUUAGCCAUACGACGGUGAAUUUAUUCCCAGGCCUUGUACACACCACCCGUCACACUAUGAGAGUUGGUCAUGCCCGAAGUCAUUACCUUAAUCACAAGGAGAGGGAUGACGAAGGCAGGGUUAGUGAUUGGAGUGAAGUCGUAACAAGGUAGCCGUGUUGGAAGGUGCAGCUGGAUCGCCUCAUUU
rfam:Vitis vinifera, whole genome shotgun sequence of line PN40024, unoriented chromosome 1, chr1